rnacentral:misc_RNA from 1 species
UCGACCAUCAUCCAAGCGCUCAAGCGAACAUGAUCGCCGCCGUCGCCAUCCUGCACACCUUUGGCGACGUGUGGAAGCGAGCAAUUUCUGCUACUAAUUGAGCCGCCGGAAGCGGUACCGCAUAAUACGCAGGUCAUGACGACGACUACUCCUCCCUCAUGUCUUCUCCGGUUAGAAACCUUCUCAUCGUGGCCAUCCUGAUCCUGCUCGGGCAAAUUGCCUGGCAGCAGUCGAAGAUCUGGAGGCUCGAAGGCGAGGUCGCGCAAGCCAAUCGCAAUCUGGACGAUCGCGCGGCCCAGAUCGCGCUGGAACGCAUGCAGGGACGCCGCGAAGAUCUCGUCCGCGCGGUCGACUGGCUGCAACAGUUCUACAAAUCCGAGGAUGGUCUCAAGCGGGCGAACGGCCUGUGGAUUGCCGAGCAAAGCCGCGUCGACGCCGAGGCGAUUGGCGCGUGGAUUUUCGACUUCUACAUGAACCGCCGCGUGUCGGGCGCCUCGGAAGAAGAAGCCCGCAAAGCCGUGACCGACGCAAUUCGCGCACAGACGAGUGGCAGCGAUUGCACUCCGCCAAGCGGUAGCCGAGCCUACCCGGCCGGCUGCCCCUACGUCCCCAGGCGCGCU